UACGUAGGGUCCGAGCGUUGUCCGGAAUUACUGGGCGUAAAGAGCUCGUAGGUGGUUUGUCGCGUUGUUCGUGAAAACUCACAGCUCAACUGUGGGCGUGCGGGCGAUACGGGCAGACUGGAGUACUGCAGGGGAGACUGGAAUUCCUGGUGUAGCGGUGAAAUGCGCAGAUAUCAGGAGGAGCACCGGUGGCGAAGGCGGGUCUCUGGGCCACUACUGACGCUGAGAAGCGAAAGCAUGGGGAGCGAACAGG
rnacentral:rRNA from 1 species